AGAAGAAGAAGAAGAAGGAGCCAUGGGUGCUGACUGGCUGCUGAACGAAUGUGCUCCUCUUGUUUGCCCAGCUUCUGCUUCAAUAAAAAGGGCUGUGGCCCAUUUUAAUUCCAAGACGUG